GAGUUUGAUCCUGGCUCAGAUUGAACGCUGGCGGCACGCCUAACACAUGCAAGUCGAGCGGUAACAUGAACUGUAGCAAUACAGUUUGAUGACGAGCGGCGGACGGGUGAGGAACACGUAGGAACCUGCCCAAGAGAGGGGGAUAACUAAGGGAAACUUUAGCUAAUACCGCAUAAUCUCUGAGGAGAAAAGUUGCCCGCAAGGGUGACGCUUUUGGAGGGGCCUGCGUCCGAUUAGUUAGUUGGUGAGGUAAUGGCUCACCAAGACGAUGAUCGGUAACUGGUCUGAGAGGACGACCAGUCACACUGGGACUGAGACACGGCCCAGACUCCUACGGGAGGCAGCAGUGGGGAAUCUUGGACAAUGGGGGCAACCCUGAUCCAGCGAUGCCGCGUGGGUGAAGAAGGCCUGGUUGUAAGCCUUAGC
rnacentral:rRNA from 1 species